rnacentral:rRNA from 1 species
GACGAACGCUGGCGGCGUGCUUAACACAUGCAAGUCGAGCGGUAAGGCUCCUUCGGGAGUACACGAGCGGCGAACGGGUGUGUAACACGUGAGCAACCUGCCCUUCUCAUCGGAAUAAGCGUUGGAAACGACGUCUAAUGCCGAAUAUGACCUCCUUUCGCAUGAUCGGAGGUGGAAAGCUCCGGCGGAGAAGGAUGGGCUCGCGGCCUAUCAGCUUGUUGGUGGGGUAACGGCCCACCAAGGCGACGACGGGUAGCCGGCCUGAGAGGGUGAACGGCCAAACUGGGACUGAGACACGGCCCAGACUCCUACGGGAGGCAGCAGUGGGGAAUAGUGGACAAUGGGCGAAAGCCUGAUCCAGCAACGCCGCGUGAGGGAUGACGGCCUUCGGGUUGUAAACCUCUUUCAGCAGGGACGAAGCGAAAGUGACGGUACCUGCAGAAGAAGGACCGGCCAACUACGUGCCAGCCGCCGCAGUAACAC